GGUGUGGUGGCUUAGGGGUUACUGCGUUGCCCUUAAGGGUGGCUGUGCACCAUCCGAGAGGUUGCGGGUUCGAUUCCUGCACACAGCA